CACAGCCCUACCUUCUGCUUCAGCUCGGAGAGAGGAUAUACCUAGCGCCUCACCCUCUGUAUUCCAACUGCUCAACAGAUGCACAUCUCAUACCUGUUGAGUUGCCAGAGAUGUAAUCCUUGACUAGCAGAAAUACAAGAAGUCUUUCAAAGCAUCACAAGCAAAAAAAAAAAAAAAAAAAAAAAAAAAAAAA